ACAGGGCUGGCUGGGGGGUGGACAGAAGCUGCCGAGUGGCCUGCCCCACCCUGGCCAGGAACCUGCCUAGCCCCCAUGAACGGGCAGGCUGGACCCUCCCAGCACACAAAGCCCAAGUCGCUGCCAGACAUAAUGAAAGUCAGAUGAGCACUGGGCUGGUGUCAGGCCUCCCCCCACCACCCUCCCAGGGGUCCAGCUCCAGCUGCCAAUGAAGACCAGAGCUGUGGCUGGAUGAAGGCUGGAAAACA